GAUCUUGGUUCAGGAUGAACGCUGGCGGCGUGCUUAACACAUGCAAGUCGAACGGAGUUUUAACGGAAGUUUCGGAUGGAAGUUUAGAAACUUAGUGGCGGACGGGUGAGUAACGCGUGGGUAACCUGCCUCAUACAGGGGGAUAACAGUUAGAAAUGACUGCUAACACCGCAUAAUAUAGCGAAACCGCAUGAUUUUGCUAUCAAAUAUUUAUAGGUAUGAGAUGGGCCCGCGUCUGAUUAGCUAGUUGGUGGGGUAAAAGCCUACCAAGGCGACGAUCAGUAGCCGGCUUGAGAGAGUGACCGGCCACAUUGGGACUGAGACACGGCCCAAACUCCUACGGGAGGCAGCAGUGGGGAAUAUUGGACAAUGGGGGAAACCCUGAUCCAGCGAACCGCCGCGUGAGUGAAGAAGUAUUUCGGUAUGUAAAGCUCUAUCAGCAGGGAAGAUAAUGACAGUACCUGACUAAGAAGCCCCGGCUAACUACGUGCCAGCAGCCGC
rnacentral:rRNA from 1 species